AGCAGUCGCCGCGGGAACACGUAGGGUGCAAGCGUUAAUCGGAAUUACUGGGCGUAAAGCGUGCGCAGGCGGUUAUAUAAGACAGAUGUGAAAUCCCCGGGCUCAACCUGGGAACUGCAUUUGUGACUGUAUAGCUAGAGUACGGCAGAGGGGGAUGGAAUUCCGCGUGUAGCAGUGAAAUGCGUAGAUAUGCGGAGGAACACCGAUGGCGAAGGCAAUCCCCUGGGCCUGUACUGACGCUCAUGCACGAAAGCGUGGGGAGCAAACAGGAUUAGAUACCCGGGUAGUCCCUGUCUCUUAUAC
rnacentral:rRNA from 1 species